AUUGAACGCUGGCGGCAUGCCUAACACAUGCAAGUCGAGCGGAUGCUUCGAGCUUGCUCCUGCAUUCAUCGGCGGCCGGGGGAAUAAUGCCUUGGAGUCUGCCUGGAAUUGGGGGAUAAUGUCCGGAUACGGGCGCUAAUACCACAUCCGACCUGUUGGCGACAGUGGGUGAGCUUCCGACCUCACGCUUUCAUAUUAACCUAGGGCGGAUUCACUAGUUGGGGGGGUAAAGGCCCACCAAGGCGACGAUCCGUAACUGGUCUGAGAGGAUGAUCAGUCACACUGGAACUGAGACACGGUCCAGACUCCUACGGGAGGCAGCAGUGGGGAAUAUUGGAAAAUGGGCGAAAGCCUGAUCCAGCCAUGCCGCGUGUGUGAAGAAGGUCUUCGGAUUGUAAAGCACUUUAAGUUGGGAGGAAGGGCAGUAAGUUAAUACCUUGCUGUUUUGACGUUACCAACAGAAUAAGCACCGGCUAACUUCGUG
rnacentral:rRNA from 1 species